UACAGAGGUCUCAAGCGUUGUUCGGAUUCAUUGGGCGUAAAGGGUGUGUAGGUGGCGCCGUAAGUCGGGUGUGAAAUCUCGGGGCUUAACUCCGAAACUGCAUUCGAUACUGCGGUGCUUGAGGACUGGAGAGGAGACUGGAAUUCAUGGUGUAGCAGUGAAAUGCGUAGAGAUCAGGAGGAACACCAAUGGCGAAGGCAGCUCGCUGGGACGGUACUGACGCUGAGACGCGAAAGCGUGGGGAGCGAACAGG
rnacentral:rRNA from 1 species